rnacentral:rRNA from 1 species
GACGAACGCUGGCGGCGUGCCUAAUAUAUGCAAGUAGAACGCUGAAGGAGGAGCUUGCUUCUCUGGAUGAGUUGCGAACGGGUGAGUAACGCGUAGGUAACCUGCCUGGUAGCGGGGGAUAACUAUUGGAAACGAUAGCUAAUACCGCAUAAGAGUAGAUGUUGCAUGACAUUUGCUUAAAAGGUGCAAUUGCAUCACUACCAGAUGGACCUGCGUUGUAUUAGCUAGUUGGUGGGGUAACGGCUUACCAAGGCGACGAUACAUAGCCGACCUGAGAGGGUGAUCGGCCACACUGGGACUGAGACACGGCCCAGACUCCUACGGGAGGCAGCAGUAGGGAAUCUGCGGCAAUGGACGGAAGUCUUACCGAGAAACGCCGCGUGAGUGAAGAAGGUUUUCGGAUCGUAAAGCUCUGUUGUAAGAGAAGAACGAGUGUGAGAGUGGAAAGUUCACACUGUGACGGUAUCUUACCAGAAAGGGACGGCUAACUACGUG